rnacentral:piRNA from 1 species
UCCGCCUGUGAUAAGAAUCAA